rnacentral:misc_RNA from 1 species
AGUGAUAGAUUUUACCCAAU